AGUUUUAAUAAUUUAAGCAAAAUAUCGGUCUUGUAAAUCGAAAAUGAAUAACAACUUCUUAAAAC
rnacentral:tRNA from 1 species